rnacentral:lncRNA from 1 species
GGUCAUGCUUAAUAUAGAAAGUCUCUAGGUAAAUCAAAAUUGCUGCUGGCCUUCAAUCUCCUUCCAGCAAAUCAAAUUUCGUGGCUCAUGUCAAGGUGGAGCAGAAAAUAUGGAUCAUGCUCUACUUACAUGCCCUUUUGCUAGCAAUUUACAGGAGAACUUUGGAACCUCAAUUUGAUUUGCAAUUUAAUGGCAUUCCUUGGAUGAGUUUUGCUAAUCAUGGCC